GAACCCUUGGCACAGUGGUAGCGCGUGAUAUUCCAGCUUGGGAAAUCCUCAAGGUCGUCCGUUCAAUCCGGGCAGGGUUCA
rnacentral:tRNA from 1 species